UCAAGCUAAAAAGGGCGCAAGGUGAAUGCCUUGGCACUGGGAGCCGAUGAAAGACGUGGUAAGCUGCGAAAAGCUUCGGGGAGGAGCAAACAUCCAUUGAUCCGGAGAUAUCUGAAUGGGGCAACCCAAUGGAGUUCAUACUCCAUUAUCCAAUACUGAAUCCAUAGGUAUUGGAAGGGAACCGCCUGAACUGAAACAUCUAAGUAGGGCGAGGAAGAGACAUCAAACGAGAUUCCGUAAGUAGUGGCGAGCGAACGCGGAAGAGGGCAAACCGAGAGGAGAAAUCCUUUCGGGGUACGGACUGCUUUUAAGACUGGAAGAGUUAACAGAAUGGCAUGGGAAGGCCAACCGAAGAGUGUGAGAGUCACGUAAGUAAAAAUUCUGACAGCUGCGCAGGAUCCACAGUACGGCCAGACACGUGAAACCUGGUCGGAACAUGGGGGGACCACCCUCCAACCCUAAAUACUACCCAGUGACCGAUAGCGUAUAGUACUGUGAAGGAAAGGUGAAAAGGACCCCGGGAGGGGAGUGAAAGAGAACCUGAAACCUUGUGCCUACAAGCACAUAGAGCCCGUCAAAGGGUGAUAUGGUACUUUUUGUAGAACGGUCCGGCGAGCGAUUGUAUGCAGCAAGGUUAAGGACUUAAGGUCUGGAGCCGAAGCGAAAGCGAGUUUGAAAAGGGCGUUAAGUUGCAUAUAAUGGGCCCGAAACCGGGUGACCUACCCAUGGUCAGGGAGAAGUGGAAGUAAAAUUCCAUGGAGGACCGAACCGACCUCCGUUGAAAAGGCGGCGGAUGAACUGUGGGUAGCGGAGAAAUUCCAAUCGAACCCGGAGAUAGCUGGUUCUCCCCGAAAUAGUUUUAGGACUAGCCUCAAGUUAGAUNNAUAGCUUUAGGGCUAGCCUCAUGUUAGAUAUCCGGAGGUAAAGCACUGAAUGGCCUAGCGUCCGAGAGGAUAGCGAAGCCUAUCAAACUAAGAAUGCCGGAAUAUUGAUGCAUGGGAGUCAGACAGUGUGAGAUAAAUCUCAUUGUCAAAAGGGAAACAGCCCAGAUCUACAGCUAAGGUCCCAAAUUGUAUCUAAGUGGAAAACGAUGUGGAAAUACGCAGACAACCAGGAUGUUGGCUCAGAAGCAGCCACUCAUUUAAAGAGUGCGUAAUAGCUCACUGGUCGAGCGUCUCUGCGCGGAAAAUUUAACGGGGCUAAGAUACAAACCGAAGCUUAGGCUGCACUUUUAGUGCGGGGUAGGGGAGCGUUGUGUAAGCGGAGAAACAGUAGCGAAAGCCGCUGUGGAGUUUACAGAAGUGGNNNNNNNNNNNNNNNNNNNNNNNNNNNNNNNAAAUGAUGUGAGAAUCAUCAUGGCCGGAAACCUCAGGUUUUUGGAGGAAGGUUCGUCCGCUCCAAGUUAGGCGGGAGCUAAGGUGAGGCCGAAAGGCGUAGCCGAUGCACAGACGGUAGGGAUUCCGUCCCCACCGAAAGAUUUAAGCGCAGGGACACUUUUAGAAGGUCGGAGCCAGGUGUUGGUUCUGGUAGAGAUCGAGGGAAGAUUAGUACCGAAGUCCGGCUGGAUAAGANNGAGGAAAUUUAGUACCGAAGUCCGGCUGGAUAAGAGGCGAGAAAAGCUGCGUGUAUAUCUAAGGUGCCCGUACCGCAAACCGACACAGGUAGGUAGGAAGAAGAUUCUAAGGCCAACGGGAGAAGGGUUGUUAAGGAACUCGGCAAGUUGACCCCGUAACUUCGGAAUAAGGGGUGCUCAUGAAAGUGAGCCGCAGAGAAUAGGCCCAGGCAACUGUUUACCAAAAACACAGGUUUGUGCUAAAUCGAAAGAUGACGUAUACGAGCUGACGCCUGCCCGGUGCUGGAAGGUUAAAAGGAGAUGUGCAAGCAUUGAAUUGAAGCCCCAGUGAACGGCGGCCGUAACUAUAACGGUCCUAAGGUAGCGAAAUUCCUUGUCAGGUAAGUUCUGACC
rnacentral:rRNA from 1 species